GGGGGGAGCACAGGAUCCUGGGCUGUGUCCCCAGCGCCCAGGGCUCUGGAGCCUGCACCGCUGGAAUCUCGUUCCCAGGGCCACGGGGCCCCCU
rnacentral:pre_miRNA from 1 species